rnacentral:rRNA from 1 species
GACGAACGCUGGCGGCGUGCCUAACACAUGCAAGUCGAGCGAUGAAGCUCCUUCGGGAGUGGAUUAGCGGCGGACGGGUGAGUAACACGUGGGUAACCUGCCUCAUAGAGAGGGAUAGCCUUACGAAAGGAAGAUUAAUACCUCAUAAGAUUGUAGUUUCGCAUGAAACGGCAAUAAAAGGAGCAAUCCGCUAUGAGAUGGACCCGCGACGCAUUAGCUAGUGGGUAAGGUAAUGGCGUACCAAGGCGACGAUGCGUAGCCGACCUGAGAGCGUGAUCGGCCACAUUGGGACAGAGACACGGCCCAGACUCCUACGGGAGGCAGCAGUGAGGAAUAUUGCACAAUGGGGGAAACCCUGAUGCAGCAAUGCCGCGUGAGUGAUGACGGUCUUCGGAUUGUAAAACUCUGUCUUUGGGGACGAUAAUGACGGUACCCAAGGAGGAAGCCACGGCUAACUACGUGCCAGCAGCCGCGGUAAGAC